rnacentral:lncRNA from 1 species
GAGAUUUUCCACUGUAACUCUCAGUGAAGCACUGACUGCAUGUGAACUCUUGGGAAUGAUCCGCUCCCUGAGCACGAUGUUUUCCCCAUUCAUUUUUGUCUGAUUGGUCCAAGAUGCUCUGAAGGAAAUGUUUUCAACGGCGACGCGUACUUGCGGGGCGGGAGUCUUCUGCGUUUGGUUCCCACAACCUGAAAGCGCUGUCUUUCGUUGUCUCUGGUCUUCUCUUGCCCCUCCCUCGACUUCCAAACGGCGGGCGCCGAUACCAACAGAAAAGGUGACGCGAGGAACGGGACUGGGAAGCGCGGACUCAACGAGGAGCAAGUACGACUGUGGACGCCCGGCAAGUUGUUCACAAGUGGCGGCGCACCUGUCAUUGCUCCCUUGCUGAUCCCAGUCGGUCUCCUUUGGGACGAAUUCACUUGGGUCAAUGCAUAGCAUCGGACAGACAGGCAGCUGUUUGAGUUCAGAAUCGCGAACGAUCGCACCAAGCCUCACUCCUGUCGCUGACGAGUCCUCUUCCUCAAGAGGGACACCGAAGUCAGAAGACAGCCCUUCACGCUCGGAUUUAGCGCCCGUGUUAUCGAGUUUCGCUGGCGUCCGGCUGCGCAGUGGGCCAAUGGACAUGCGAAGGUAAGGCGUCAGUCCUCCGUGCGGAAGGUUGAGAGUCACAAAUACAGUGGGGAGUUCCGAGCCGCCCGCCAGUUGUUCGUCGUCGGUUGCAGGGGGGCCACUACCGGCGCCUGGGGAGUAGUCGCAGGCAUCGCGAGAAAAGCGUGAAUGAAUUGUCAGCUCUGCCUUGAACCAGACCGUGUAGUGAGGUCCUGGAAGCGUACUCUCUGGCGCCGUUACAAGGAACUCUUCAAUCUGAACGUCGUGGAAAGUUUCCAAGAAACUUUCCACCGAGAGGAUGUGGCAUGAGAUACCUCCACACAGUUCAGCAGCGUCACUCUCUUCGGAAGCCGGCCGACUUUCGGCUGCUUGCCGCUUCAUUGAUUUCGUACUUCCUGCGGCCGCCGAUGCGACGGGGGGCGACUCCAGAGAGUUGCUACUCUUCUCCCGCUUAUCGGGCACCCAGUGUACGCGGAAAACGCCGCUUCCGGCCGGGGAAUCGAGCCAGAAGAAGAACGCAUGCCUUCCCUGGCAGAGAUUCAGCUGCGUCACGGCUCGGCAUGAAGCGUCGAGUGUAAGAAACCGCGGUGCGGCACACAUUUCCAGUGCAUGGCCUUUGGUUGGAUAGGUCGAGAAGGCUGAGAAAGCUAGAUGAGAGCCUGUCUCCGAGAACAGCGGCCUUCCCUGUACGCUCGACGAACGCGCCACUGUCCCCUGUCUCCGUGUACGGUUCUGUUUCCCUGCCCGCCAGAGCUCAAUUCCCUGCGUCACUGCAUUUCGCAUUUCUGGUCCGAGAAGCGGCUUAACGUCGUCAACACUCCUCCCCAGCAGCCGCUCCCACGUUCCUAUCUGGGGACUGAUUUCUUUCCCUUCAGAAAGGAAAAAGGGUGCGCUCUGCACGAGGCAUGUCCCGCCCAGGGAGGUGUGCAUGCUGUCUGCUGGAGCUGCUUUGUGACGCGGACAGAGAUUUCGACUACUUCCGUGCGGCGAAUCGCGAGGCCGAGCCGGCGCCGUUUGUCCGGCCUGAUGCAUCGGCUGCACAGCCUCGGUGGCUAGUGUGACAGGUGGGUGAGCAUCAAACUCGAGGAGGACGGGGACCGGCGAGAACUGGGUUCGUAUGACGCUAUUGUGGAUUGGGCGUUGCCGCCGAGGUCUGGACGCCGGACAACAGUCGCCCUCUGUGCGUUUCUCUGCUUGUGAGCCGGAGCCGCCGUCACCGUCCUUCUCCAUUGUCCAGGUCGCCAGCUCCGGUAUGUUCAUGUAACAUACUGCAACACGGAGUGGAAACUGGCGAGGCAGCACGGAUUGUUCGUAGUCGAAGAAGUCGCUCGAGGCGGCUGUCUCGAAAAGAGUUGAUGGGACGUACACAAACAAGUGUUCGGAUCGACAGACUUCCGUCAACGUCUUCCACGAGACCCAGACGGUUCCGUCGUACGUGAUACCCGCUGCCCCAAGUGGAUCGGUCACGUUUUGUACAGGCCACGGCAUUUGCCAUCUCUGGAUGAUAUCAGCCAGCACCUGGACAGGAGGCUUCGCCUGGACGCCCAAAGAGACCAGCAGCGGGUUUCGCACGAGACGCGGGGUUCUCGAGGAUUUUAUUGAACAUGAUGAAGGGGUGUUCUUCUCUCUUGCUUCGCAGCCCCUCCCAACGUAUCUGCUACGAGUGAAUUUGGUGCAGAGUAUCUCUUGCAGACGAAAGCAUACUCCUGUCCUUCAGACCUACGAACUGAAUCACGUGGAGGUGCUUGCCCACCAAAUGCAUUUGUUUAAAUAAACGGUUCCUACCCCAAGCAGGUAGUGCCCAUUUCUGGCCCCCCGAGUUGAGCGGGAAAAGUCAUGUCUGGUGCUGUCUAGCCUUGGCGUUCAUCUGCACACUGGACCUGCAAGGCAGUUCGCUCCUAGUAGAGCUCCUGCGGUCUCUCCGUGGUGGGUGUGACGCGCACGUAUCGAUUACCUUGCCCGACGAGCCUCCAAAUAUGUCGUUCUGCUUGUUGGACUUUGUCGCGUGGGCGUCAUGAGGACUAGCAACUCCGUUUGCGGGUCUCAAACCGCUGUCUGUGUCGGUCUGCCUCAAUGUGAUCGGUUGGCUCUCUUCUGCUAGGAAGUCCUGCAAGGUAGCCUCAGGCAGAGGAUGCGGUAAUGCAUCUCCAAGGAAAUGUUUGAGGAGCUUUCCCCAGGGCUUACAUAGGACGAUGCGCCCGUGAUCAUCCCGUCGAAGUUCUUUCGUCUUCCGCCUUGCUUCUGCCUCGGCUUUCUGAGCCAUCAGUUCUGCUCUGUUGUCCGGAUGUUCGGGACUAACCACGGAGAACAGGCCGCCGUACUCCUCUUCGCACGCUCCCUCUUCCUCUGGGAAAACGAAGUCCGAGGUGCGUCCACCGCGUUCUAUCGGCUUCACCGCAGGAUGGGGCUUCCCGCAUCGCUGUCGGUCGCCAUUCUUUCGUUUUUGUAGCUGCGGAUGAUCACGUUUCAGACUGAAGGCGCCGCUCCGCAAACAGACUCGCUGAUUUUUCAAGUCUUCAGGAGUCAAAUUGCAGACUAGAAAGGUGACACUCGCAUCAUCGGGGUCCAGGGUUCCCUGGCCUGCUUCUGUUUCGUUUCCCGUUUCGACGCCCUGAGUCUCUGAGGGUCGGAUCUUAACGCUAGCCCAAAAGCCUUUAGUCAGAAAGUGGCGUAUCGCGCCACCAGUCAGCGGGUACGCGAUUUCUCUUCUUCCAGUGAGGGCUUCGAGGGCCGGAAUGUCCAACACCCCGCGAGAUAUUUCGCCUUGAAACGCUUUCCAGAUCGCCUUUGCAAGCAGCAUCGGCCACAGGUCGCGGCUGUCUCGGGAGGAAACAGGCGCUAGAGGCCGCUUGGCUGCAUCGCAUGGAAUGAAGUCGUCGAUCUCCACCAAGCGCCACUGCGACCGUAAGAAGAGUUUAACGUAGUACAGACCUUGUGGGUUGUACAACGGCCACCCAGACUCCGACUGCGGAUAGAUUAAUUCCCACAGAAACGUGCCCUUGGGAAGGAGGACGGCGUUGUCGGCAAUCACGCUAAAUGCAGAGAGGAUCCCAGCAACGCACCGCGGAGCACCUGGGUCCACUGCGAAGAUCCCGACCUCGCGACGUAGAAAGGCAUCUAGGCCCACAACGACGGGCUGCUUAACUCCGAGACCCUCGACGAGCAAAGCUUCGAGGUCCACGUGCGCCAGCAGGCGGUCGUCCAUCAGAGGCCUUAGACACGUUUCUGAGAGUCCGCCCUUUCCAGCAGCCCUCUCCGGCACCUGCAACGCGGCGGUCCCGGGAACACUGGCGUCAGCCUUCCCCGCAUCAGCGUAGUACAGUUUCUUGCUGCCUCCGGCGGAAGGCUGCGGCGCGGUCGUUCCAAUGUGGUUUUCGGCAGAACGGCUCAGCCCUGCCUUGCGCUGCAGCGAGACAUAUCCCGAGUCGCUGUCGCGACUCUCUGUAGCUUCGCUUUUCGCACGGUUGGUAACAGACCGUCCAACGCGCUGCCUCUGUCUGCUGCCAUCGCUGGGCAUCUCGUGCAAAGUGCCCGAGGCCCCGGGGGAAAUCGCGGGAUCUACAGCCGGAUAUUCCUCGAGAGACGUCGUCAAGUCCCAGCAGUUUGGUGCUCUUUUCCAACCUGCUGUCCGCUCUCUUAUCUCCCUCGGCAGCGCUCGAGGAAGAAAUUUCGCGUCGACGAAGCACUUGGUUACCUCCCCAGCGCCGGGAGGGGCGACGGGUUCCCAGGGCAGUGCCGGCGACCGGAAAUCCCGGAGGCUUUUUGACGUUUCAGGAACGACAAGAUCAGGAAGCAUGCACGGCAAGGAAGGCCAGUUCUCAGGGCGCGCUCCCGACUGGAGGGGCGCGCGACGUGAGGGCGCAGCCAUUUCUCCGCCGCCAGCCGUGUCGAUCCCCAUCUGUGGCUACUCACGAAACACGUGGCGAGCGGCGAGGGAUUUUUCUUUUAGGCGGAAAGCCGGAGGUUCUGUUCGGCAUUCAACACCUAGACACCUCUUCCCCUACAUACGCAGAGAGGAAAUGGGACACACGAAGUACUGGACUAGAUACUAGGAUCUUCUCGCCAUUCGGGCCAUGUACUGAAUCUGGUUCCAGUUUUCCAUGCCCAAAAAUGUUACUGCAGCAUCAAGAGCUCGCAUGAAAACAAACAGCAGAACACGGACGACAAAGCGAAAUGGCCAGUGGCGCCUUCACUGCAUCAAAAAGAGGUGCUCUACGAACAAUGCGUACGAGCCUCUCUCACGAUGUCGGGCAUAGAUAGAUCUGCCAGUGCAACUCCAGGAUUUUUGCAAGUCAAGAUAAUUCCGUGUGCAAAUCCGCUCAUUCGGUCGAUAUGGUGACCAUGGCGGUGGGCAGUUUUCCAGAACCUCCUCUGGAAGCGUUGUGAAACGCUGCUGUUUAGAAACGACUUGAAAGCAGGUUCGUAUUCCGAGUGAAAAUUAUGUUAGAUCCGCUGUUUCGGUUCUCCCGGAAAACUUCCGCAGAUGCGCCUUGUCAUCGCAAUACGGGGAGUGAAGCAACACACACGCAUCUACGUAG